GACGAACCGAGCGAACGUUGUUCGGAAUCACUGGGCUUAAAGGGCGCGUAGGCGGGUGCUCAAGUCCGUGGUGAAAUCCUCCGGCUCAACCGGAGAACUGCCUCGGAUACUGGGUGCCUCGAGGGUGGUAGGGGUAUGCGGAACUAUCGGUGGAGCGGUGAAAUGCGUAGAUAUCGGGAGGAACACCUGUGGCGAAGGCGGCGCGCUGGGCCGAUCCUGACGCUGAGACGCGAAGGCGUGGGGAGCGAACGGG
rnacentral:rRNA from 1 species